AUGAGGACUAAUUUAUAUAAGUGCAAAGAAUUAUUAGCUAGGCAAAUAUGGAUGCUAGGGGCAAGGCGUAGAUACAAACAAUGGCUAAACUAUUUUAAGAGGACUAAGAUGACAAAUCUUCGAGCAAUACAGAUACCUAAUUUUGAAAGCACAAGCUGUUGUACUUCCGUUUACUUAAGUCGCAAUGAAAGAUCAAAACAACAUGAGGAAAAACAAAUGCAACAUUGGAAGUUUGGCAAUAGGAAGGUGCAGAUCAAUCUUUUGUAUAUGAAUAGCUGCAAGGAUGUUGGGCAGCAAUAA
rnacentral:rRNA from 1 species